rnacentral:lncRNA from 1 species
CUCUGGCGCUUCCUCCGCUCUGGCGGGUGAUUUCUCUGGCAUUCCGCGCUCGCCUCGAUUCCUCUGACGGGGUGAUUUCUCUGGCGACUUCGCUCCUCUGGCGCUUUUCUCUCUGGCGCCUUUCUCCUCUGGCAUUCCGCGGAUUUCUCUGGCUUAGCGGGUUCUCUGACUUAGUGAGUUCUCUUCUCUUGUCUGAGACGAUUUCUCUGCUCUGGUCUGGUCUGGCGUAAAAACGCCAUUUUUAGCCAAAAAUCCCCAAAAUUAUACUCUUCCACCAUUAAAACCUAAAUCUCCUGAAAAGCAUCAAAUACACCAUAAACGCACCAAUUUCCAGAAGAU